UACGUAGGGAGCAAGCGUUAUCCGGAUUUAUUGGGUGUAAAGGGUGCGUAGACGGGAAUUUAAGUUGGUUGUGAAAUCCCUCGGCUUAACCGAGGAACUGCAACCAAAACUGAAUUUCUUGAGUACUGGAGAGGAAAGUGGAAUUCCUAGUGUAGCGGUGAAAUGCGUAGAUAUUAGGAGGAACACCAGUGGCGAAGGCGGCUCUCUGGAACGCAACUGACGCUGAGACGCGAAAGCGUGGGGAGCAAACAGG
rnacentral:rRNA from 1 species